GAGCAGAGAGAGAAGGAGACACAGAAUCCAAAGCAGGCUCCAGGCUCUGAGCUGUCAGCACAGAGCCUGAUGCGGGGCUCGAACCCAUGAGCCUUGAGAUCGCGACCUGAGCUGAAGUUGGACGCUUAACCGACUGAGCCACCCAGGCACCCCUUAACUUUUUCACUAUACUUUAAAAAUUUUCUAAAACUGCUAACUACAUGUUUGUUUAAUUAGAAGUAAGAAAAAUAAGAAAAUGCCCAUUAGAUUUCUACCCACAUAAGGAGUUGUAGUUACCUAAUUCCCUGAUCAAUUAUGAAACAACCUGUGCUUUAGAGAAAUUGGAAUGGAACAAUAUAAAGCUAUCCAAAGUCAAUAGAAGUGACUGGAUUUCAACCACAGCAUCAACAAAAUCAGAAGGAGAAUUGAUAAAAUGCAAAGUUGAUGUUAUUUUUGAUGAUGUUAACUUAGCAAAAUAAAUCCUAAGAGAACAAUCAAAUAAUUUCCUAACUUCAAUUUUAUUAUUUUUAAUGUUUUUGUUUUAUUUUUGAGAGACAGAGAGAGAGCAUGAGUGGGGGAAGAGGAGAGAGAGAGAGGAAGACACAGAAUCUGAAGCAGGCUCCAGGCUCCGAGCUGUCAGCACAGAGCCUGAUGCGGGGCUCGAACCCACAAACUGUGAGAUCAUGGCCUGAGCCGAAGUCAGAUGCCUAACCGACUGAGCCACCCAAGCGCCCAACCUAACUUCAAUUUUAAAGACAGGAAGAUAAAAACCUUUUCCCACACUGCAUGUGGAAAUGAGUCAGCUUCAUUUCAGCCCAGGAAACAUUUAUUCUGUGUCUACUGUCUACCUACCAGAUAUUACAACAUGGUCAAUAUACAAACAAGAAAUCAAAUAUCAUGGGGCAAGUGUUUUAAAUAAACAAGGAAUGUGUCUAGAAGGGUGUAAGACAAAAUUGCCAAAGGUUUAUACUGCAGAGUAAGAUUACAUGACGUUUUCUCAUUUUGCUUGUCUAUUCUCAAAUGUGUACUGUGAUAUAUAUUUGUGUGAAUGUGUGUGUGUGUGUGUGUGUGUGUGUGUGUCCCUUAUAUGACAUUCCUAUCCACAUUUGAUCCUCAACCUCCUUUGUAACCUUUAUUUCUGCUUUCUCUCUCCACAAUUCAUAUAUCCUCUGAUUAAUAGCAUAUUUGUGGGAAGGAGCAUUUUGUACAUCAGUUUUUGACUCUAUUUCCUAUCCCUGCUGAUGGCCUGCUAUUGUCAAUUUAAAUAUCACCUGCUUCAAACAGUCCCACAUUAUGUGUGAAAACCUCUCUGACCCUGAAUUCCUAAACCCUUAUUUCUCUCAGUGCUGAGCAUUUUGUGAUACGGUGUCUUGCAUUGCUAUUUUACUUAAUACCUUACCCUAUAUGGUACUUUACUUUCAUAACAAUUUUACAUAAAUUAUCUUAUUUCAUUCUGUGAAAUAAGGUAGAUAUGAUCUCUGUCUUCUGUGUGGGAAAAGAGCAGUAUUAAGUGACUUGCUUACACUUCUGAGGAGCCAAGGCCAAGAACAUAGGUUUCUGACUCUUGAUAUAAUUUGAUUUUCAUUAAAUGGAGCCACACUUAGUUUACUUUUGCUCUCUGACAAAACUGUAUAUCAACUCUAUGAGCUCAGGAACUCUUUAGAAGUCAAGAAUAUAGUGUACACAAUAGGUGCUCAGUAAAAUCAUUGAUUAAUGUUUUGACAAGAUCUAUAAAGCAAAUCAACAUAAAUCAAAGCAAAUUUCCUGGCUAAUUAAGAGAUAACCUCUUCAAUAUUAAAAUCUUCAGGUCUGUCUUUCUUCAAGAUUUUAAAAUUCUAUUUGUAGGUAUUUGCAUUUGUUUAAGAUAUAAGGAAGAUAUUUAGAGAAAAAAAUCAACAUUUAGAAAGAGAAGGCAACACUUUUAUUCACCUGAAGGGAAAGUUUACUAGUGGAAUGACUGGUUGAGGAGGAGAGAGCAGCGUAACUGGCAAAAACCCUCACUGUAGUAGGAGAAAAGGAAAUCCAGGGAAGAAGAAAGCACCAUGAAAUGCCAUGAUGUUGGGCUUUGUUCUGGAUUUUGUAUAUUUCUGACAAGGGUGGAGAGAGCAGGACCUCACAGAAACAAAGCAAUAUUCAACACGGUUUAUAAGCUACUGAUAAAAUCUCUGCUCACUGGUGGCUUCCCAAGUGGACAACAACUUAGUAGGCCAAUCAAAGAGUGGUAAAAUUUCAUGUGGAGCUCUGAGACUUCUGUCUUAGUUGGCUGGAGUCAGGAACAAGGUGAACUGCCCACAAGCUAAGGGCAAGCAAUACCCAGGGGAAAGUAAACAUUUUUCUCAUUGCAGCAAAAGACUAAAUCUAGAUAUGCAAACAAUGAUGACAGUGAGUGGGGAUACUGAUGGAUAAAAUACAUACUGUACAAUUCAUUCAAUCUUUGUGAAUCGUAGAAUCUGAAAAUAAUUUUUAUGUUAUAAUGAGUAAUUGAAAUAAAUUAAUACAAUUUUUGUUUUGUACAAAAAUAAUAGUGGCUAGAAGCAUAGGUUUUAUACCCCCUCCUUCCUUGGGUAAUUUCUUAUGGAAUGUACUUUCAUCCAUUCAACACUUAUUUAGCAAGCACUGUAUAUACUAGAUCCAAUAGUAGGCCCUGGAGUUGUAACUGUGAAGUAAACAGACCCGAGCUCAGGUCUGGAAACUGGGCACAACAGUAUCGUGACUUUUUAUUAUAAUGACCUUCUCAACCUCCUAAUUAUCCAUCCUUAAUGGAUACCCUUGGUAGCUGCCCGUCUUCCUAGUCCCUUUGUAUGCUACAUUCUAUUAACUCUCUCCAUAGUUCUCUGCAGUACAGGCAUCCCCUCCUGCCGCCCAGUAUGAUAAUUGUGCCUACCUCGCUUCUGAUCAGACCUAUUUCAAAGCAUCAGCAGCUUCAGGAUUUCUCUCUUGAGCCAAAGAAAAGUAGAGCUUUCUCUAACCUUCUUACAAAAGAGCACAUACAGCCCAGAUCCGUACACCUAGUUUACCAGAUAAAGCAGCUCCAGCUUCCUGUGUAUUUUGCAGCAUUGAGAACAAUCAUGUUGUGGGUUCCGAAGUACAAAACAUGGCUUCCGCUGCCCGGCCCCAGAGAGGCCCUGGAGAGUGAUAAAAUUUGAAUUAUUCACAGCAAUUAGUACCAGCACUGCACUGGGACUCACAUUUCAGCCCAAGCUUUUAAGUGAGAAUAUAAAAUAAUACUGGAAUAUGAAUUCAUGGCACUGUGAAAGUUUAUUUUUUGUUUUUUCUUUUCCCUCCUCAAAUACCUUUCCUCUUUGUACUUCUAACUAUCUGGGGCACUGCUUGGGUAAGGUUGAAAAAAAAAAAGGAAACAGGAUGUAGCUAUUUAAAACCUUAAAAGAAGAUAUUUUGUUUUUAAGGCAGGGAUAUCACAAUAUGUGGGAAACUGAAUUGAUGCACUUAUAUUGAUAAAUAAUGCUGAGUGGAGCUUUUUUUUCUCUUCUGUUGGGGAAGAAAGGAAAUGGUAUCAGACAUGCCUUUGUCAGUGGGGCUUUCAAACUGUUUCUGUAUAUAAGUCUUUUUCCUGUAUUAAUGAGAUUUCCUUCUCUUUGUCCAGAAACUGCAGUUUUGCCUCUAAAGAGCCAGGUUUACAUGUUUCUAAUACAAAACACUAAGCCAAGUGUGCAAGGUUCAUUAAUAAGUAGAUACUACAUUAGUCCAAACGUGGCAAUUUGGCCCGCCUACCCUGUUAAUAUUUGGUGUGUAACUCAGAAAUAAUGACUCUGUUCUCUUGAAAAAUUCUACUUCCAGGUUUUGCAAUUCUUGCAAUCAAUCAUUUUAUUUCAAAAUGGACUUAGUGUUGAAUUUGAAUUAGGGGCUAUAAUCAAUUAAUUCUUUAGUUAUACAAACUCAUAUAAUAAAGCAUUAGGAGUUUACAUAAGAGGGUGUUGACUGAAAUAAAUAGAGUUGGAGGCCAGCCUUCCACUAAUGGCCAUGCAAGUCAGAGGCUAAUGGACUUGGCCAUAUUUAAUCUAAGACAAGGAGUGGGGUGAUUAAGAUUUUAUCCUAGCACUAUCCUGUUCUCACUGAUGAUUUUGCAAAUUACUCAUACCUCUGUUUUUGUAAGAUGGCAAUUCAAUGGUUCUUUGCAACUUCUUUAGAGUCCUGAGGCUUAAAGCAGCCCAAAAACUUUUUGCACUUUAUGUCACUACCUCUAGGUAAAGAAUUAGCCAAGUUGGCAGAGCAAACAGAUACCCAAGACUAGAACCUUUCUGUAAAGACCCAGAUAGUAAAUAUUUAAGAUCUUGGGGGUCACAUUUGAUCUGUGUGUAUACAUAUAUAGAUAGAUAGACAGGUAGGUAGAUAGAUAGAUAUGUGUGUAUGUAUAUGUAUAUAUGUGUAUAUAUAUGUGUAUAUACACAUAUAUAUAUUAUAACUCUUUAAAAAUGUAAAAACCAUUCACCAUUCUUGGCUUGCUGGGCUUUAAGCUUUUGGGGCUGUAAGAGGCUACAGGUAGAAUUUGGGCCACAAAGCCAACUCCUGCCCCACAGUAAUGUAAUUGAACAUCUAUCACAUUGAAGAAUUGUUCUUUAAUAGGAACUAAAUAUAAAAGUCCUUCAAUCAACUCUUCCCAAUGUACUGAAAAAUAAAAUGUAGACGAUAGAUAUUUAAAGUUACAGACAUUUUUUGUUUUGUUUUGUUUUUUCUAUUUAUACUUGAACCAGUUGCUCUACUGGGCAGAUCAAAGCUUAAGAGAGGAGAGGCAAUUUUCACAUAGGCUAUGGGAGUGGCCUUGUCUGGGUCAGAGCCAAAGUGAGGUGAAGAGGGCAGCUAUGCAAAACUGGACAUGACAGACUGCUUAUACACAGAGGGUUGAUCAAAUAAGUAACUAUGUUAAGGAUAAGGUGACCCAGGUAUCAGAAGAGAGUUAUACAUAUAUGGAAAGGAAUAAAACCAGAAAGAGCCCUUAAUUUUCAGUACAUGUAGAUACAUAAAGAAAUACAGAAUUAUAUAGAUAUAAAUAUAGAUGUAAAUUAUGUGUAAAUAUAAGACUAUAUAUACAUAUGUGUGUAUAUACACAUACACACACAUAUGUAUAUAUAUGUUUAUACAUAUAUAGCAGACCUGGCUCCCAGAUUGCUGCUUCAUAAUAUCAUGAACAGACCUAAUGCCUAGACUAUGGCCCCAUAAUAUCAUUUUCCACUGAAAGAAACCAAUGCUCCUAGGAUAAAUGGUUGAUUCCAGAAUAGUUGAUUGAGGCAGGGCACAUUUCAGUCUAGAAGAUCUUUCUUGUCCCAGGAAAAAUUUAAAAAGGCCCCAGAAUGAUUGGGUAAUGUCAAAAAGAUCCAGAAAUCAGUUUGAAGGGACUCCCACCAGACAAACCAGUGAUAAUUCCAGCAUCAAAAGGAAAACAUGGCAGUAAGAAUAGUACUUAUUUGAAAAGUUAGGACCAUUUGAUACAUUAAAAGUUUGAGGAAAGAUGGGAAAUUUACAUGGUUUUAAAAUAGAUCCCUACAAAAUACGCAUUUAUUACCAAGGAGGCUAGGAAGAAUUACUUUAUGGAGGAAAAGCCUGACAGACACCACCUUGAUCACUGAUUAAAGUGAGCAUCGUCAGUCCUGAGACAAGUCCAAAUUGUAUGCCAUUUAAUAGGAUACAGUUAGGGAAAUGUGAUAUUUUCAUCAAAAACAUAACUUGAAUCUAAUCAUGAGGAAACAUUAGACAAACCUCAACUGAAGAAUAUUUUACACAAUAACUGGUUCUAAAGUCUUCAAAACCACAAGGUCAUGAAAGUCAAGAAAGGACUGAGAAGUAAUUCCCUUGUGAAGAAUAAAGAGAUAUGACAGCUAUAAUGCAAUACAUAAUUCUCAACUAAUUAUUUUCCUAUAAAAAACAUUGUAGGGACAAUUCACAAAACUUGAAUGGGGUCUAAAGAUUAAAUGAUAGUAAUGUAUCAACGUCAGUUUCCUCAUUUUGAUUUUUGGACUGGUUAUGUUGGAGAAUACCCUCAUUUGUUGGAAAUGCACAUAAAAGAUGGGGCAUUAGGUUGGUAGAUUACUCUCAAAUGGCACAGAGAACAGAAAUGCUUGUUCUGUACUUACAAAUUUUCUAUAAGUUUGAAAAUGUUUUAUAAUAAGAAAUAGUUUUAAAAUGAGCUACCUUAUAAAUAUAAUACAGUGAAUUAAAAUGAGCUUUCUAGGGUGCUUUCCUAUAGAAAGAUAACAUUGUGGAGUGUGGAUUUUGAAAGUCUGUAAAAUCUGGAUUGGAAUUUGAUUCAAACAUUUGAUAGCUGCAUGGUUUGAGUUAGGCCACUUAACCAUCUUACAAGUUAAAUGUACCUGAUAUUAUCUAUAGUGUAGUGCUAUUAAUAAAUGAGAGAAAAUUUACUUAAUGGGCCAAAUAUAGUGCUUAGAACAUAGAAGGUACUCACUAGAAGCUAAUAAUAGUAGAGAUAAAUUGUAGCAAUAACAGUAACAGUAAUAAUAAUAAUAAUAAUAAUAAUAAUAAUAAUAGGAGUAGUAUUGUCAAUGAUGUUAGCAGUAAUAUUGAUGGUAGCAAUCGACUUUUUACUACCAUAGUAGCAGUAGCUGUUGUUGUCACAGGCACCAUUAAUUAUCAUGAUCAUCGUGGGUCCUCUCCAGGAGGGCUGACUUCGGUGGUCUGCUAUAUGAAAGAGCUUCAGUAAUCAUGAUCCAUCAUGGGAAAAAGAAGUUAUCAGGCAAGAGGAUGUGAGGGGAACAAUUAUAUGGAUGGAAAACAUCUUCAUUAUCAAAGAAACAGACUCGGGAAGGGGAUGUGCUGGCAUCACACCUACAAAGACGAGCAGGGAGGGGAACAGGACGAGGUAGAGCUGAAGAAAUGGGGCUGCAGAAGUUGUUGAAUUUGGCCCGAGUGGCCAGGCAGUCCCAGGCGCCAUUCACAGGUUGUGGACAAUUAGCAGAUGUUUCUUUUUCCAGUGUGGAAGCUGAGGAAUGGAACAAGAUGGCGGCAUGAGCAGAGACUUCUAAGAACCUGCUGAUUUUACAAAUAUGGCAGCUAUGCCUCAGCAAAUUAUAAGCAAUAAUGAAUUAGUUAAUUUUCUUCAGUGAAAACUGCUAUGCUUCCUCAUUGUGGCAGAAGUAUCUGCUCUCCUUGGUGACCAGUUCAGCCAUGGUAUUGUGGGAGUCAUUUCCAUAGGCUCUGGUUAUAGCCUGCUCUUCUCAUUUUUCCAGUGAUUUGUAAGUACCUAAUUACCUGUAUCUUAUUCUUUUCUGAAUAAAAUAGCUGCAGUACCUAUGGACCCUGACACUGAACUUUGGUUGUUCCCCUGUUUGAUACAGAAAUGGUUGCAGGUAAAAACUCAAGGAUAGGGAUUUAUAAUUACUUACCUGGCCUCAUUGGAUUUGAAGGCAUAAGAGGUUGGUAUACUAAUAGUUUUCAAUGCCCAGAGACAAAAGAUAGUUAAUUUAGUGUGUAUGAUCAUCUCUUUAAAUUAUGCCUUUAGAGGACCAAGUGACAGAGACAAUAACAAUGUGAUGAGCAAAAGGAUAAGAAGGACAGUAUGGUAGGUAGCCUACUUCUAACCACACUGCCAAACAUAAAGAAAGGGACAUAUUCAAACUAAAAAACAAAACAAAACAAAAAAACCAAAAAAAAAGUGUAUUUAUUUUUUUGAGAGAAAGAGAGACAGAGUGCGAGCGGGGAAGGGGUAGAGAGACAGGGAGACACAGAAUCUGAAUCAGGCUCCAGGCUCUGAGCUGUCAGCACAGAACCAGUCAGGCCUGAACUCAAGAACCGUGAGAUUAUGACCUGAGCCAAAGUCAGAUGCUUAACAGACUGAGCCACCCAGACUCCCCCAAUAUUCAAAUAUUUAAAUUGGUCAGAGAAUAUUAGAAAACCCAGAUUUUCUAGGAUUUCUCUAAAAUAAUUUCUUGUAUCUUGUAUUUCCAGAAUUGGUGUAGUCAAAAAUCAGACACUAACUCUGAUUCUACUAGUGACUAAAAAAAAAAUGUAGAUUGAAUUCACGCAUCAAAUUUCACACGAGAAGAAUAAGGACAGGGCUUGGAAAGAUGCACCCCAAGAAUCAGAGUAGUAACAACUGAGAGAAUCCAGAUAACUAAAUGUCUCCUGAAUCUAAAAUUUGCCUGAGGCUUCUGUAUCAGCAGACCUAUCAAGUCCUCCUCUGUCUAAUGAAUCUGGCCACACCAUACACAGAUAUCUGCUUCUGAUUUUGCUUGUGCAGUACCUUAUAACAAGAUACCAAUUCUCCACAUGUCACACCCCUACUAUCCCAUUUGUCUCCAUAUUGAUAACUAUAGUCAGUACUCUGCAUUCUGUAGGGUCAAAUUACUAAGUAACAUGGUGGAAGAGAAGGCUUAUUCACUAAAGAAUUGCAAACUGUGCUCAUUUAUAUCAGAAUAAAACAAGUGAAUAUGUGUAGAAGGAAAUUGCCAGAGAAGAAAGAAUGUACUGUUAGACUGGGCUGACUUUAUUGCUAUGGAUUCAGUAUGCUAGUUCACUGAUUCUCAAAGGUGGCCUGUGAUGAAUGAAGUCGACAUGCCUGAAAUUCGAUGAUGUGAUGUAGACAGAAUUAUGAUAAUAACUGAGCAGAUUUACCAUGUGUGUUCAUCUCCCUGUCUCCUUUCCUGGUGGCCUUAGAGGACCUGGAGGACAUUCCUUCCACCAAAGCACUGAGUGAGUAGAGCACCAACAUUUUUGAAAAGUGCUUGACCUUUUUAAGCUGAAGAUGAAAGAAGGAAAUAUGAACAUUGAUAGAAGAUCCCUGAUUUCAGAGCAAAUGUCAGGAUCUGAGGGCACUUAGAUAACUCUUAAGUAUCAGAAGCCAGGUGGCCAAGAUUGCCCAACAAGUAGCAGGGGCAAAGUGGUAACAGAAUUGCUUGACUUAACUGCAUAUUUAGUACUGGCUAACUGAUUAUGAAGCCUUUAAUGAAGAAAAAGAGGCAGCCAUCUAAGGCAAAAUUUGUUAGUAUAACAAAAGAACUCUAAAGAUGGUGACCAGAAACCUGACUUAAUCGCAAUAGCAAACAGCACUCAGGUCCCAAUUUUCAGAUCUAAGUUAUUUUAUUAAAACACUUUUUUAAGUGUUUAUUUAUUUUUGAUAGAGACAGAGUGCGACUUGGGGAGGGGCACAGAGAGAGGGAGACACAGAAUCCGAAGCAGGCUCCCCACUCAGAGCUGUCAGCACGGACCCCAACACGGGGCUUAAACUCACUGUGAGAUCAUGACCUGAGCCAAAGUCAGACACUUAACCGAGCCACCUAGGUGCCCUAGAUCUGUUAUUUUAUAAAGAUGGAGCUCUUUAUAUUAAGAAGAAAUCAGUUUUCUAUUAGAAAAGAUCCUAAAAUAAUAAGUUUGUAGCCAUUUGCCAGUACGAUUAUGCACUAAGGACAGUAAAGCACUACUGUUAAUUGUUGGACACUGUCUUUAAAAUGAUGCUACUUCUUAGGGAUCUAUACAUUACUGCAGUCCAGCAGUCAGAAUGGGGAUCUGUAGGAAAAACAGAGCAUGAUAAAUGGAUGUCUGGCACCCAAGUUUGUCUUAUAGUGAGUUAACAGAGUCCUCAAACCCACUCAUGGUUUUUACUCUAGCUCUUGUGUUAUAUGAUUAAAAUAUCCUCACCAACUAUCAGAAUCUCUACAUGGGCUUCCACCCAUGAAGUAAGGACUGUCAUGACAGGAAUUGAGAACUUGAAGUCCUGGAGUUCAGCUUCUUUAUCAAAGUAUCAUGUUCUUGGGGAAUUACAAAAUAAGUGCCACCAACUGAUCCUUGAAAGACACAGUGGUGCGAUGUCUUUCUUAUUUUCUUUUAAUUGGACUGCUUGUCCCACACAGAAGACAAAUGGAUCUUAGAAAAUUAAAGUAGAUUAUCAUACCUUUAACAAGGUGUAACCACAAAUAAACCAAUUGUUUUAGGUGUAAUUUCAGUGUUAGAGCAAAUAAACAUAACUCCUGGUACUAAGUAUGUAGCUAUUGAUCAAACAAAUAUAGUUUCUUUUUCUAAUCCAGUAGGCAUAGAGUAACAGAAAGUGUUGGCUUCCUCCUGGUGGAGACAGCAGUCUACCUUCAUUAUCGUUCUUACUCUCCAUCAGGACCCUGAUUUAAAUCUGAGAGACCUUGAUCAUCUUACCAUUCAGGACAUCAUGUAAUUUCACUGUAUGAAAUCUUGUUGAUAGGACCUGAUGAGCAGUAAGUCACACAUGUCCUUGAUACCUUAGUGAGACAUUUUUUGCCAUAGAAUGGGAGAUAAACACUAUGAAAAUUAAGGAGUCUGCCACUUUUGUGAGAUUUCUGGUAUCUGAUGGGCUAGGUCAUAGUGGAAUACCUACAAUGAAAAGAAAAAUAAGGUGAUGAAUUUCAUACACCUUUCCUCUAAGAAAGAAGAAUAGUGUGUUUAGAGGAAAUCAUGCCAGCUUUAAAACUUCCAUCUCUGAGUAGAGCACAGACUAAGGAAGGUUAUCUAGCUGACCCAGCCUAUAGUUCAAUUAGCUCUGCCAUUUAGCCCUUAUGAUUUAUCAGAACCAGUGUUACAUUAAGUGUUUAUAGCAUAUUAGAAUCCCAUUCUGAGCCUAUAGCAAACCUAGGUAAGACAACAGUUUCAAACCCCUGAAAUUUACAGUAAGCCAUGUCUUCUUUGUAAAAUACAGUUCCUACUUUCAGAGAUAGUUCCUGCUUGAUACUCAGUUCUGGUAGGGAUUUAACUGGUAGCACCAUAAGUCACUAAAUAACCAUGUUGUAAAUCUCAGCUCUCUAUCAUGAAUGGCUGCUAUGUUUUAUUAAUCCAUAAAGUCAGGCAUAUGUACCCGAAAUUCAUCAUCAAAUGAAAAUGGUUCAUAGAGUCACUAUACAUCUCAAUUUUCCCAAGAUAGCCUCAAUUAUUGCCCAAGCAUUUCAUCCCGUUUACCAAUUUAGCAUUCAGAAGAGUCCUAGAUUGAGUGAUACAUUAUAUAGUUACCAAGUAAGUCACAUGAGGAAGUGAAUCAUUUCUUACUGUGUCUACUCUUAUUCUACUGCUUCCUCUGCCUCAAUCUACAUCCCUGAGUUUAUAGGACCAGUUAGCUGAGAAAGAUAAAAAAAAUUGAGACUGUUUUAUAGAUGGUUCUGAACAUUGUAUUGGUAUAUGUAAGAAGUAGACUAUUGUAACAUUUUAGACCAACUAAAACAUUUUUCUCUUAUGUACUGAUAUCUAAACCAACAGAGCUUAGUAGUGUGGCUUUGAAAAGCCAAAAAAGUUAGCUAUAACAGUGAUUAGAGCUAUUCCUGCUUCUACCAUUUCAUCGAUCACUGGAGGCUGCUCAUUAUAGACUCUACCAGUGGACCCCCUUGCUCUGUGCUUUUGGGUUGUGUUUGGCCAAUCGGGAGUAGAGAGGAAAUCAGAAGGAGAGAAGAAGGAGGUCAAGGAUAUUUUUCUACUUCCCUUCUUGCAGGCUUGCCACAGGCUGGUUGUAUCCUUCUAUGGAACAUCCCCUCCAUUGUUCAAACUUCUGGUAAAAAUUACCUCUCCUUGCCCUUUCUGGGCUAAGGGU